CCUUCAUGGAAUCACCUAUGAAUUUUCUAAUAAAAUGUAAUGCAUCAAAGAAUUUUAUACCAAUUAAGUACAUAGACACAAAUUUGUAGAACACCAUGCAUCAAGUUUCAAUAAAUGCACUCUCAUUCCAUUUUUAGGCAUCAUCCGAGGAGCUUGACUCAGUAGGACUGCCAAAUUAAGAUGUUAAAAUGAUGCUGGACCAAUAAGCCAUGAUGAUUUAAGCACGAUUAGUACAAGAUCUUCCAGGUUUUCAUGGGUCAAUUCAAAGUAUCUUCCUAAAAGAGACAGGCAUUAAUUAGUCAUUCAAACAAUAGACAUAUAUGAGGUUGAAGGCAGAGAUCAUCAUUGAAUUUAGAACUUUGGUUUUCUUGUUUAUUUUUACAGUUCAGGUAAAGAGCCUUCAUGUCCUUGGGUGAAUAAUAGUUGGUAGCUUCUAACAUGAUUGCACACUCAAACUGUGUACAGAAUGCAAGGACCCACAGGAGAGGAGCAAAACCAGGCUAGAGUACUGUUGGGAAAAUUUAGAUGCGUCGACUGAACAACUGUGACAACUGGACCUAACGUACCUACACAGUUGGAAAACUAAUAGAGAUUCUGGAAAGCCCUAUAAAUUCAAGACUCAAGCUCAAAACGACAAGGACCACAGACCAAUACGACAGUAAUGCAGAAAAAGGGUAUCACUCAGCCACUGCCAUACUACUAUUGACUCUGUCACCCACCUGACACUCUCCAAGAAAAACACCAAAAUACCCAGAAAAGAUUUUUAAAAAGAAGAGUAGCAGAGAUAAUAUCUGUCAAGAAAUAUGUCAUAAAUAAUGUGAUUCACAGGACAAGAAUCCCUUGAAAUACUCGCUCGGUGGCAUCCAUCUAGGAGUAUUAUUCAGUGGUAAACAAAGCACUGAAAGCUCAUAUACCUAGAACCGACAUAUAUACACUGCAUGAAGCAGUGUCGGUGCCAGGUAAAAAUAGAGAGAAAAUAAAGUCCAGAGAAA
rnacentral:misc_RNA from 1 species